GUGGGGAAUAUUGGGCAAUGGGGGAAACCCUGACCCAGCGACGCCGCGUGAGGGAAGACGGCCUUCGGGUUGUAAACCUCUUUUGUACGGGAAGAAGGAAGUGACGGUACUGUACGAAUAAGUCCCGGCUAACUACGUGCCAGCAGCCGCGGUAAUACGUAGGGGACGAGCGUUGUCCGGAAUUACUGGGCGUAAAGGGCGCGCAGGCUGUGCUGCAAGUCAGCGGUGAAAUGUCUGGGCUUAACCCGGGCAUGCGGUUGAGACUGCAGUGCUGGAGUGCUGUAGAGGCAAGUGGAAUUCCCAGUGUAGCGGUGAAAUGCGUAGAUAUUGGGAAGAACACCGGUGUCGAAGGCGACUUGCUGGGCAGCAACGGACGCUGAGGCGCGAAAGCCAGGGGAGCAAACGGGAUUAGAAACCCUUGUAGUCC
rnacentral:rRNA from 1 species